rnacentral:lncRNA from 1 species
AAUUUUUAUACAAGGGAUAGUCUGAAAAUAAGUUUUGUGUUUAUAUAUUUCCAGAGGCAGUAGAUAUAUUUUGUGGGCUAAAAUAUAUUGUGCUGGUACAGACAUCCGUUCUCUAACAAUACAUAUUCAGUCUUGCCCGAAAGAGCAUAUUAUAUUAUUAUUAUAGCAAUCUAUUAUAUAUGUACACUUGCAUGUUACAAGAGCUACAGUAGUUAAAAAUGAUCAAGUACUGUGCAGAAUGUGCCAUACUUGGUAAUCUGAGGGGACACAAUAAUGUAUAGAUGGGGAUGAAGUAUAGGCAGUUAUCCACUAUGAAUUGGUAUGUGGCACCAUAUUCUUUAAUGGCAACCCAAUAUCCAUAUGGUGACAACAGCAGCAAACCAUACGGAUUGUCAAACUUGAGAGAGAGAAUGCCUCGGCAAGACAGUUUCUACAGAUUUCUUCCAGCUUUGAAGUUAAUGAUGGAAAGGCAGUAUUUCACCAACAAUGAUAUGAAAUAAGCCAUUUGAAUUUUCAUCCAUAUCCAGAGCAUAAACUUUUACAAAAGGUACUACUUCAACUUUGUUAAUCAAUAAAAUAAGUGUGUCAAUAUCAAUG